AAAAAAGAAAAAUUAAUUGUUUACUAUAUUUCUUUUAGAGAAAAAAGAGAAUAUUCUCUUUCAAAUGAUAAUGGAUCAGUGGAAUGAUUUUAAUAUAUACACCAUUUAGAUUUAAUGUUAACCCUUGAUACAAAAUUCAAAUCCAGAGACAGUGUGGAUAAAAACCUAAGCCACAUUGACAAUUGUCAGCAGCAUGCGUUCGUAGUCAAUCUAUAUAUAUCAGUUCCACCGUGCGAUGAUAAGAUUUAUGACCUGGUAUUUACUACUGAGGCAAGGAAAGGCGAAAGUAUAAAAUUUGAAAAUAUGUCUAUGACGAUCAUUUUUCACCCGAAAUAUACAAAGCAAAUCCUACAAAAAAUAGACUACAAAUAGAAAAAAGAUGUUUUGAUGAAUAAUGCCGCACUCGACCACCAAAAGUUUAUUAGAAAAUGAAGAAGAAAAACAAGAUGUACAAGAAAGAUAGCUCAUAAUCGGAAAACAUCUGGUGAGAAAAGAAGAAAAAUAAGAAAAAAAAGAACGACAUCGACAGCAUCACUGCCAUUACCAACAAUAGCAAGAGGCAGGUGAAGGAGAAGUAAAAGAAGGAGGAAAUGAAUUAUUUAUUAAUAAGCCAAUGCUGGACUAUACAAAAGUGCCGUUAAGAUUUUGUGACAAUGAGAAUUCAAUGGAAUGACUAGCAAUUGAACUGCGGACAAACUGUGAUGUACAAAUUGAGCCGGCUUAUGAAACAAUGGUGCUCUGUAUCUCUCAUUUUCUGAAGAACCAAUUCCUUCAAUUUUAGAUUCGAUUUUAGAAGCAUCCAUUUUCCUUCGAUUUUAGAAGCAUCCAAAGGAGAGGCUUCCGUUAAAGCUGAGGGAAAGUGCUGCGCCCGAGAAGACACUAAAAAAGAAGGACGCAAGUCUCAAGAGUUAUGAGGAAGGGCAAAAAGCAAUUGGGAUUUCCUCGAAGGUAGAAAUUUACACUUGAAUAGGUACAAGUGUCUCGCUUAAAGGUUUUGGAUGGUUUUCCUUUAUAAGAUGGUCUAUUGGUAUAGAGAUACCAUACAUAUAAGGUAUAUCUGAUAUUUAUAAAUGUAUUGGUUAUUUUCUUCAUUGUUUGUUAAUAAAUUAUUAUAUUCUGA